rnacentral:misc_RNA from 1 species
GAUGAAGAACGCAGCGAAAUGCGAUAAGUAAUGUGAAUUGCAGAAUUCAGUGAAUCAUCGAAUCUUUGAACGCACAUUGCGCCCGCUAGUAUUCUGGCGGGCAUGCCUGUCCGAGCGUCAUUUCAACCCUCAAGCCCCCGGGCUUGGUAUUGGUGGCAGGCCUUUGAUGGCCUCCCCCGAAAAACAGCGGCGGAUAGUUUGGAUUCCCAGCGCAGUGACUUUUAAAUUCUCGCUGAAAAGGAUCCCCAGGCUCUCCUGCCGGACAACAAAAACAUUUUUUCUAUGGUUGACCUCGGAUCAGGUAGGGAUACCCGCUGAACUUAAGCAUAUCAAUAAGCGGAGGA